UCCCAGUUAACCUGGGCAGUCUCGCUAGAGUACCCGCCAUUACGCGUUGGCAACUAACGAUAAGGGUUGCGCUCGUUGCGGGACUUAACCCAACACCUCACGGCACGAGCUGACGACAGCCAUGCAGCACCUGUAUAGCAGCCCUUACGGGAAGCAGCAUCUCUGCUGCGGUCUCCUAUAUGUCAAGUCUGGGUAAGGUUCUUCGCGUUGCAUCGAAUUAAACCACAUGCUCCACUGCUUGUGCGGGCCCCCGUCAAUUCUUUUGAGUUUCACCCUUGCGAGUGUACUUCCCAGGCGGUAUACUUAUCGCGUUAGCUACGACACAGUCGGGGUUGAGACCAACUACAUCAAGUAUACAUCGUUUACGGCAAGGACUAC
rnacentral:misc_RNA from 1 species